UCUGGAAGUUGCCCUGGACGUG
rnacentral:miRNA from 1 species